CUCCUUUUUCCCUUGAUUUUUCUCCCUGCUUCCCAUCACUGUACUAUGAGCUGUUUUUCUAUUGCCAUGUCUCUCUGCGAUGCCACUCGGCCAAUGAGCCAGCUGACUAUGAACCAAAAACUGUGAGGGAAAGUAUACUUUUCCUCCUCUAAGAGUUGUGGAUGUCACAAACUGUCAUGUAGUAAAUAAUGAAACCCAACCCCAUGCCAUUCCUAACACCCCUUCUUUCUGCAACAUUAGAGAGGACAGGUGGAAGUUACUAGGGUCCUUGUCCCUUGCUCCCCUGGUGUGUGCCUGCUCCCUUGCAGGACUCCCUCGUGGGGUGGCUGCAUAUGCAGCCUGCAGGCCCAAGGGGCAAAGCAUUGGGAGCCAUUUGGUUUUCUAAGCCUGAGAGGAAGUGGAUAUCUCAGAUGUACCCCAAGAAAAUCCCUUUUUUGAAUUGUCUCCUCCAGCCCCGGUCAUGUGAAUAUGCUUGACCAUCUCCAGCUCCUCUCUGAUGCUCCUCAGUGAACAAAUGUCCACUUCCUCUUUCCCCUGCUCCCAUCCCUGACUGCUAUCCCCCUCCACAAAGCUUCCCAGGCUGGGGCGGGAGCAGCCAGGGGACUUUCCACUCCCAUGGGCACCGUCCUCAUGACCAAGCCUGUGAAUCCUGUGACAAUUACAUACAUUUCCGGAUGAUAUUCAUAACAUAAGCUAAAAUGCUCAGAAAACCAUUACUAAUGCCAGCUGAGAAGACGAUAAUAACUUCACCCAGAAGAAAUUUGAUUCAUCCUGUGGAGGCCCAUAGACGGGUGCACCUCACACCUUAAUGUGCCCAAGAAUCACUUGUGGAACUUGUUAAAAUCCAGAUUCUGCAUCAGUAUAAAGGACUAACAUUUCACUGGGAAGGUGGACCUCAAGCUCCCUGAUGGCUGAUGCCUGUCUGGAUGAACUUUGAACUCUCAGUGCUUAGCAUCACAUCUGGCACCCGCAAGGUUUGAGGAGGAAGCAAGGAAAGGAGAUGAGAAAGAGCGAGAUGGUAACUUUUCAGCAAGGAAAGUACACACAAGACGAGUGGGACACAGGGGAGGAAGGAGAAUAGAUCUAGAACCACCAGGAAAUGAUAGACUGCCCUGAUCCUCUCUCCUGAGAGCCUCCUGCAUGUGUGAUAUUGUGGGAUCUGUGCAACAUCUCCUGAGCUGCCUGUAAUCCGGGAGGAAGAGACAAAGCACACAGGCGGCCAGCAGGAAAUCAAGGACAAGGUGAAAGAGUUGGAGAAGUGUGGUCCUCACCAAUCACAGCUCAUUGCUUUGAUCGAGAAGCACUUCAUGGCUAAAGUGUCUGAGGAGGAAAGAAUGAGCCCAGUCACAAGGUCAGAAAGUUCUGCAGGGAGCCCAAGGACACCCCUUUCUGUCAUGACCAGGUGUGCAUUGAGAAGCAUUAGGAUUACAGCAGGGCAGGACUGAAACUUGAGACCUUCUUGAAGGACAGGAAAGAAGCAGCAGCAUGCAGGGCAGAUACAGGGCAGGGAGGAGGUGACAAAGAAACAGCACAAUGGCCUAGAAGAAAUGAGGGUCAGGGGCUGGGGAUUUAGCUCAGUGGCAUAAGCACCUGCCUUAAGCAGGCAGUCGGUUGUGAGUUUGAUCCCCAGUACUGACCAUUGUUGAUCACCUUGUAUUUUGUUUUUACAUUAUCUAUUAUGUCCAUCCUUUUGAUUUGACUGACUCUGUUCUGUCACAUUUGGUUUUACUCUCUUCAGAAAAAGUAUUAAGAACUGUGGGAGUGGGGGCUGGGGAUUUAGCUCAGCGGCAUAAGCGCCUGCCUUGAAAGCAGGCAGUCGUGAGUUCGAUCCCUGGUACCGAUAAAAAGGAAAAAGAACUGUGGGAGUAAUAAAACCCAAAAUGUGUAAUUGUCAUUGUACAAAAGAAAGGAAAAGAAAGUGCUCUAAAGAAUAUAACCGCAUAUAUAUUUAAGUGUAUAAGAUACAUAACCAUAUUACUGAGUUUUGUUGGAUCAUUGAACAAAACUGUUUCCAGUCUCACUGUUUGAAAGUCCACUUUAUAUGCUUUCAUUUUGUAACUUGAACAACUAUUUCUAAGAUAACAAUAUGUGAUCUAGUAACUAGUUAUUUCCUAUUGUUUAUUUUUUCUGAAAUUCUGUAUAACUUGUAAAACAAAAAAAGAAAUGAGGGUCAAAGUUAGGAGGACAAAUAGGAUUCAGAGACGAGACUCCUGGGUUUCCCUCUAGGGGCACACAGGGCCAGGACUGGGUGAUAUUCUGCUCCUCUGCACCUUUUCCCAGCAUGCUUUGUGAACAUGCAUUUCCAUCCCCGAUGCAGCUGGCCUCCCAAUGAGGGCCACAUUAGAAACUGGCCAGCAGGACUUGGGCCCCAGGCUGGGUCCUUCUAGUCAUCAUUGGAAUGACAGGAUGUCACAUCAGGUGAAAUCUAUCCUAGAAACUUGGUUCUAGCAUGGCUGAAGGUGCAGUGUGUCCCCUGAACAUAGGACAGCAAAGAAAGAGUUGGUAUGCAUGAAAUGGUGCCAGACCUCAGGCCGAUGGGAAAUGGAAAUUCAGGGAAGAGUUUGAGCCCACAUCCUGGCUGAGGCAUCACACUGGCCACCAGAAGGACCAGGCCAGGCCUAGGGACAGCUGAGUCACUUCUCAGGUUGGAAACUGUAGAGGUCCACUGGAACAGCUCUCCUUGAAUAAAGAACAACUACCUCCACUUCAGCUAAACCUGGUCCUAUCUCCGUGCAGUGAUAUGUCCAGAGCUGGCUAAGCUCUUUCCUUUUCUCUUCCAUUGGCUCUAAGCAACAUAAACAGGACUAGCUGAGGUACUGACGUAUAAUCUUUGAAGCCAGCUGACAGUCUUCUGUUUGCUCACAUCAGUGUCUCCCUCUAAAUGGCUGAGCACAGUGGGAUGGCAGAGCCAAGGCUCCAGGACUGCCAACUGGGUUCGAGCCUCAAGAUAAGAGGCUCUGACUUCCCAGGGUAAGAAAAAAGCUUACAUAUCAGAACUAAAGCACAAGCCCCCUAAACAAUAAAUCCUACUCAACUGUAUUAUGCAGAUUGGUCUUUCUGGAUACCCUUCUUCCUGCAUAUUGCAGAGGUGCUUUUGGCCUCCUAGCAAGCUCAGCUCACAGUACUUACACAAUUCCCAUCAUUCUCACAGUCACUCAUUCUUAGCCACUGCCUUUUUCACAAAUUAAUAAAAUUUGGGUUAAGCCCUCGGUUGGGGCGUUUGUUCCGUGAACCUUCAUCUGGACUAGAUUUAGGACCCCUUGGCUGCCCUUAACUGUAAAUACGUCUUAGUGUCUUUAUUCUUGCCAUGGUUGCAAUGGCAGUGGUAGAUUGGAAUUAAUUUGCUAUGAUUGCAUUAUAAGAGAUUAUAAACAUAAACUUCCUAGACUGCAAUGAGGACAGGAAAAGGGCCUCUAAAGGGAAUCAAGGUCUGGUUGUAGAAUGCACACAGGACUUUUUGUUUAUCAGGGACUUGGGAACCAAUUCCUGUCAAGUGGGGAAGCAGAAAGAUGUGAGAGGAUGCCGUGAGGUACACUGAGGACUCAUCCUGUCCCAGGGAGCUCUGAGGCAGGCAGGUACUCCAGAAUUGGCCCUAGGGGAGCCAGAUCACUGAGUCUUCUUAUCCCACAUUUAGCAGUCACUGGAUGUGGGCUCUGGGAAGGGGCCUAACCUGGGUUGGGUCACCCCAUUAGGCAGGGACAUCUCCUGAGAGGGGCUCAGCUGUGCACAUUCAGCAGCCCACCUUGGAAGCAGCUAGAGAGUGAGGACCCCAGAUAUGAAAGAGAGAUCUGGGGGUAUCCCAGUGACUGAUCGAUCAUCACUUCCUUCCGAGACCCAGCAGAAAGGCCAGUAAGGGAGGUACUAUCACAUGGUGCUCUGAGCCCAUCAGACUAAGAGUGUUGCAACGCCAGCAGCUGAGGCCAACAAGGCCAGAGAGCCCAAGACAGGCAGCUGAGGAAGGGAGAAGUGGUAGGAGUAUAGUAAGUGUAAGCAGCCUGUGGUCAGGCACUGUGGUCUUCAGCCUUCCAUUUUCUAGCAGAGUGACCUUGCAAAAUGACUCAUCUCUCUAUCCCUCAGCUUCCUUAUUUGUCAUAUAGAGAUAAAUAUAGCAUUUUUCCUCACAGAGCUGUUGUGAAACAAUCCAACAAUGUGGGGAAAUGGGUAAGUGCCUUCCCAUAGCAAGAAGAGCUCCUUGUACUGAGAGGGCAGCAGUGAGAACCAUUUUCGCUAUUAGUAACAACUACGAUAAAAAGAUCACCAGUCUUGGAAGGUGGCCUUAAAAGAAUACUGGAAGACUGGGUCCCAUUCCUAAAGUUAGGGAUCUCUAAGAGGUCUUAGAGUGCUAAGUGUUAGGGAGAUCAAGUCAGACACAGAAACAAGAGAUGGGGAGUCUGCAGCCUGGAGGGUCUCAACAAGUAUCCCAAGGAGGAACUAUUGCCCCUGGACUUUGAUAGUUCAUAUGAUACUACAAAAUCCAAGAGUGAAAUAGAAUACACAUCUGGUACAAAAGCCUCAUCUUCUUCAUCUUAUCCUAUUCCACUGGUUAUUUUUAGUCACAAACUUCUGUUUCCCACUGAGUUUUCUUGACCUUGGAUUCCAAGUCCUGGCUCCGUCACCUGCCACCUGUGUGACUUGUGCAAGUCCUAUGACCUCUCCAACCUUCAGCUUCCUCAUCCUAAAGACAAGUGGAUAAUACCAGAUCCCACAGGUUAUUGUAGUCCAGAUGAGAAGUUAUAUUUGGAAAUAGCCUACAAAAUGCAAAACAUAAGACUGCUGUCACUCUUAUAGAGCUUGUUCUGCUGAUGGCUUUUGGUUUUGGGUGUUUGAGACUGGGGAGGACAGGUCCAGAGUAAUAAACAAGAAAGUGAGAGGUCCAUGACAAAAAUGUGGUUGGAAUUGUGGUCCUGUACAAGGGAGUGUUACAAGCAGCUGAGCUAGUUAGAAAUAUUAUAGGUAGUAAGACAGGGCUGGGCCCUUGAAGAAGCCAGCACACAGGACCAAAUGUCUUGUGACCUUUGAGGAGACAUACACCUCUUUCUGUGGGCCAGAUCUCAAGACACAAGGCAAAACAAAUGCAACCACACCCUAAUAUAAACAUUAGGGAUUAGGUAUGGAUCACUUUGAGAAGUUAGGAGUUACCAUCCCAACUCCCUACAGGAAGAGUCACUGAUCCAUAAGAAUGCCCACUUGUUAUGUGACUCACUUCCCAAUUUGUCCCUGAUUUGGUCAAUUCUACCUGAAUAAUUAACCUGAUUGGUUGUGAGUUCCCAGUUUUCCCCACUGAGGCCCGCCUCACCUCAUGGUUUUACUCUAAAAAUCCCUAUAAAAUAUAGAAUUUUUGGUAACCCUCUAGGGACCUCUUCAGUCUCUCUCAGACAGAAACUUUCUUUCUCUCAAUAAGUAUUUCUGCUCUUAACCUCCAUUGUUCCUAAAAUUCAUUCUUCAAUUUUAGAGAACACAAACUUGUACCAGACACUUAGUAGGUCUGGAAUUCCGUUCUCCCGUAUCAAGAAGAUGAUCUUUCCCCUUCUAUAUCAAUGGCGACGUAACAGACCUACCCAAAGCCUGAAGAGGGAAAUCAGCUAGGAUCCAUGCUGCCAAGAUAUCUGUGACACAUCUGUCAGGUAUGUAUAUUAAAUUCUAUUUUCACAAGUAACAAAAGAUUUACAGGGCUUCCUCACACUCGAUACCCUGUCCAUAAGUCACCUAGAUACCCUUGUGGGAAUGUGAAGCUCAUGCCAGGUAAAUCUUCAUCACACUAUUGCCAGACUGGGGGUGGCACAAACCUUUGACCACAUAUCUCACCUCUGAAGUAAAAAUCCCUGGGGGUGGCACUCACUCACCUCCCCACCCACUCCAUCUCUGCUUAACUUCCUUCUUACAUUAAAGUGUCAACGAGCCCAGUCUCUAAUGAGGAGAAUUCUAAUGGAUUUUAAAUUAUUAAUCUUUUUAUGAGAAAUAUUUUUUGAUCAAAAAUUUUUAAAGAAUUUCUUUUCCAUUUAAACCUGAAAUCUAACUAGAAUUGACUUCUUGAUAGUAUACAAAGUAGAGCGCAAAUGUCUUCUUUCUUACAUAUAUAUCUUCUAAAGUGAGCACAUUUCCAAGACAACUGGAAAUGUGAAUAUGUUAAAGAAAAAAACAAACAAAUAUGAGAUGGACACUACAAGAGGAUAAGAAAACCAGGUCAGCAGCCAGGGUUUAUCAGGAUGAAACCCCUCAAGCCACAGAGUGAUCAUGGCCAUUUCCCUGCUUCCCUGUUUCUCUUAGUUUAGUGUGGCCUCUAUAUUGAUUGGAUAUGUCCAGGAGCAUCUUAUUUUUCUUGUUGUUGAAACAAAAUACUCAAUACUCACAAGUUAAAGGAGGAAAGAUUUAUUUUCGCUUACAGUUUCUAGAGGUUUCAGUCCAUAGUUGGCUCGUUCCAAGGAGAGGGGCAUGCAGACAAGAAAUGGUGAGGCAGACAGGAAGCAACAAAGCAGCAGCACUGAGCCUCCCUUUCCCUUUUAUUCCAUUCAGGCUACAAACAUUUUGGGUGGUGCCACCCACACCCACAGUGGACCUUCCCACACAUUAUCCACACUCAGAAAUAUGCUAAAGCAAUCCAUGGGCUAAUUUAGUUACUUCUCACUCUUAAUCCAUCUUCACACACCCUGUAUCCAGUCACCUCCAAAAAGCCCCACCUAUGAGCACAUGAGGUUUUGGAGGGAAUCUAGGUACAAGCCAUAACAAUGAGCAAAGCUGGGUCAUGGUGUUGAAGAAGAACACUUGUGUGUUAAUCAUGAUAGCUAUUCUAUUAAUGUGUUUAUUUACCUUGGAUAGGUCCAUCAAACUUCUUGCACCAUCAGACAAAAAGGCAUGAGAGUAGCCCUUACCCUCCACCAUUGGAGAAUAGGAAUUCCAUUGGAAUAGGAACACUUGAACACUGGAAUAGGAACACUUGAACAGAGGAGGUCAUCAUAAAUUCAUUAACUUAAGUCUAUCACAACUAACCAAGUACUCUCAUGCAGGACCUCCUUUUGUGGAUCUGAUUGAGAUUCAUAGGAGCUCAGGAACCUGCCCAUGGUAACACAGCAAAUUAGCACCCUGUCAGAAUUAGAAUCUAGACAUUUCUUGUAGUCUAGCACUCUUUCUACUCUGUCUUUCAGCAUAAUCUCCUUUUUGUAAUGGCUUUAAUGGUACAAUUAAAUUUGUACCUCUCUCUUUUCAUCAAUCUCUGCCCAUCCAUCAGUUUGUUUAUUUAUCUGCCGCUGUUUAUUCACCUAUCUAUGUGUCCAUCUGGCUAUCCACCCAUCCCCUCUGGUUAGUAGUGAAGGUGGUGGCAUAGGAUUGGGAAAAUCCAAGGCUGAAUACAGCCAGAUCCCAACCCAUUACCUAACACCAAGGUAUUUACCUCACAGAGUUGUAAACCAAGUGUCUUAUCUGUGAGAUGAGGUUUGGGAUCAUGUUUUUCAAAAUAUGAUCUGGGCCUAAUGCAGUUAUAAAGAAGGAAAACUGUGAGAUUUGUUUAAAAAAAAUUUAUUUAAGGAGAAAAGAAAAAAAGAAAAAAAUAGAAAAAGGGUACAAGUUUUACCAUAAUGCCUCUUGCUAUAUUAAAAAGAAUCGCCUAUAUCAUCAGUUAUAAUAAAAUUGAACAAAACAGUAAAGAACAAAACCAAUAAAACCAAAACAUUGGAGACAUUACAGGACUUCAAAGAAGAUAAUAGUCAAAUCAGAAUGGGUGUCAUAAUGGAUCUUAUUGUCUUCACAGUUGUUGCCUAUACUCUCAAACUUGGUAUUAGCAAGCAAAACAGAAUAGAGGAAAAUCAGUCAAAACAAGAUGGUGAGAGCAAUUCAGGGUUUCAAACCAAGUUAAUAGGAAAUCAAAGUGGGUUACUAUAAUAUAUCCUGCUAUUUUUUAUUUAUUUUUCCCUUAAUUAAAAAGAUAAAAGUAAAAAGUAAAUAAUUAAAAAGGAUACUGAGAUUAAAGAGGACAUAACAACAAAACAGCGCAGGUCAAAACAUAACCAUUUAAGCAAAAUAGUGUUUCACCACAAGAUAUCCCAACAUAAAAGUAGUUACCAUAAUGUCUCUUUCCUUGAAAUCUUUGAGUAUAACUUCUUAUACUGUACCAUCAAACAUAUCAAGACAAUGUAAAACCAUUCAAGAGAAUGCCAGUAUUACAGGGUAUUUAGAAUCAACUAACAGAAAAUGAACAAUGGUUUCUGUAUAAUCUCCUUGUCUAUAAAAGUUUUUAUUUAUAUUAUCACAUAUAAUAAAAUCCAAUAAGAUACAAUAUGUUAAGACCGAUGGAGAAAGAAGAACAAAAGCUUGAUGGGACUUCAAAACAAGAUGAUAUUAAAUCAGCACUAGUUAUUAUGAUGUCUUGUUUUCUCCAAAAUAGCUGUUCCUACCAUCCAACCUUCUCUGCUUCAUUUCUGUUGAGAUCUUUUUCUGUCAUUAGUUGUCAGUUUGUCUUCUUCAUUUUGCUUUCUGCUCCAUUCAUUGUGGCCUCUCUGCCACUGUUUCUGGAAUCAUGGUAUUUUUCUUUUUUAGGAUGUCCUACAGUAUUCUCUGUAGAGUUGAAUUGGUGGUUGCAAAUUCCCCUAGUUCCUCUUUAUCCUGGGAGCACCUUGUUUCUCCAUCAAUUUCUAGGGACAGUUGUGCAGGAUAUAUCAAUCUUGGAUGGAGGUUAUUAUCUUUCUUUCUUUCUUUUUUUUUUUGGUUAUUAUCUUUCAAAGCUUGAAUUAUUUCCCCCCAAGCUCUUCAUGCUUUGAUGGUUUGUGCUGAGAAGUCUGCUGUAAUUCUGAUGGAUGUUCCCUUGUAAGUGACCUGUUUCUUGUCUCUGAUGGCUUUUAAUAUUCUGCUCUUAUAUUGAAUUUCUGGAAUUUUGAUUAUUAUAUGCCUGGGUGUAUUUCUGUUUGGGUUGUAGGUGGCUGGACUCCUGUAUGCCUCAUGCAUCUGAGUAUCUUUACCUUUUGCUAAAUUAGGGAAAUUCUCCUGGAUUAUUUCUGUGAAUAGCCUUUGUAGUUCAUUUGUUUGUGUCCCUACUUCUUCUUUUACAUUCUUAAUUCUUUUUUUUUCUUAAUUCUUAAGUUAUAGAUCCUCUUAUCAUCUUCUAGCCUUUGUAUUAUUGCUGUUUGUUUUCUUGUUAUUUUUAAGAAGCUUUUCAUUUCAUGCUCCCACAUUACAAAUCUGUCCUCCAGUUCAGAUAAUCUAACCUUAGUUUCUGUCAAGCUGUUAUGCCAGCUUUCAAUAGAGUUUUUAGUUUCUUGGUAAUCUCCUUGAACCUGCUUCACGUAUUCUAUGUUUUCUCUAUUUUCUUCAUCAAACAAUUCUCCCCUUUUUUUCUGUUCUUCCAUUCCACCAUCUGUUUUUUCUUGAGUGGUGCUUAGCAUUUCUCUAACUAUUCUACUUAUAUCUUGCUUUACUUCAUUAAAUACUUCACUUUUGAACUCGUCUAUGAGGCUCCAGAGAUAUCACUUUAUAUCUAUUGGUGCUGUGUCUGAUAUUGCAUGUUUUCUGUCCUCAUUCUCCUUUGCAUUUACCUUUCCUGGAUCAGUGUUCUCAGGAUUGGGGGCCGAGGACCCUUUCUUGUUGCCUCCUCUUCUCAUAUUUUUUGUUCCUUCCAUACAGGUGUAUAUAGGAGACCCAGUUUCUUUCUUUAUUGGUUACAGUUUGUUUGAAUCACGUUGGCUAGGUGUUCCUGCCCACUGCAGUGUACUAGGGAGACACAGACCUGGGCAGCCUCUACUGGGCCUGCCCCUCCAGGUCCACCUACUGAAGGCUUCAUUGCUAGGGUGCACCACCAGCGCUGGGACCUGGUUUGGGCUAGCCUACUGGGUCUUAGUCCACGGCGUCACCCAGGCCAAGUGCUCCCCACCAAUCCCACUUGAGAGGGGAAUAUGCGACUAAAGUCACUGCAGCGUCCUGUUCUGGCUAGUCUGCCUGGUCCCAGAAUGUCCUCUGUUGGAGCCUCCUAGUCUAUGGAAGGGUCCCUAUUCCUCUCACUCACCACAGGUCGAUGCAGGGCUCCCCGCCAGUCCCGCUCUCAACUCUGUUGCCGAUUCCCACUCUCAGAGCUUUCGCGUCUCUGUCCCUGCAGUGCCGAUUUAGAUGCUGCAGCAGCAGCAGGAAAUUCAAAUCAUGAUUUCCAGAGGUGUGGGUUCCAGCUUCAGCGCUGAGAUUUUAAUCUGUUCCGGUUAUAGCACCAGGAUUGCAUUUCCAGUUGGUUUCUCUCAGCUUAGUUCAUUCCUGGGUCGGCAGGGUAUAUCUCCCCUUACUUAGGACUCCUCACACCGUACCUUUCCUGGAUUCUAAGCUGGCUAUCUCAGAGAGCCUCCAUAGCUGCUGUUAUCUAUCCACCAUGUUCUCCCGGAAGUCCAAGAUUUUUAUAGGUAAAUGGACACAACUUGAGAGUGAGAUAAAUCAGACUCACAUAUGUAAACAUUAUCUUGUCUCCCUAUUGUAAGAAGCUAAAAGAGUAAAUAAGAUCCAAAAUGUGCUGAUGUAUUUUGAAAUUUUGGAGGUUUUUCUUCUUCUUUUCUCUUUGAAAUAAAAUGAAUUUGAGGGGGGGAAAAAGAUCCAAAAUGUACAAUAGAUAUUGGAAAA